rnacentral:misc_RNA from 1 species
AGAGGGUGAUGAAAGGUAUGGUUACUGUAGUAUAUAUGUAAGUAAGAUUCGCAAUACUGGCAUGUAUUCAGUUGCUGAACUUGGCUGUAAUUCCAGUAAUUAUGCAACUUCACUGUAAUCUUGCCUGCAAAACCCUAGACGAGGAAUUAAAACUAAAACCAUCAAUUUUGAUGUCUUGUAAAAGUAAAUUUGUGCUAUAGUUUGCUAGUAAUAAUAUUAGCACCUUUAAUUAGACAGCCUUUGUAGGCUGAUAGUACUGUCAUUUCCUUCCUAAAGCAGCUGCAGUA